rnacentral:rRNA from 1 species
UCAAGAAACUUCCACAAUGGGCGAAAGCCUGAUGGAGCGACGUCGCGUGAUGGACGAAGUGCUUCGGCACGUAAACAUCUUUUAUGUGGGAUGAAAUUAUUGACAGUACCACAUGAAUAAGGGGCUCCUAACUCUGUGCCAGCAGGAGCGGUAAUACAGAGGCCCCAAGCGUUAUCCGGAAUCACUGGGCGUAAAGGGCAGGUAGGCGGUCGGAUAAGUCUGACGUGAAAUCCCAUGGCUCAACCGUGGAACUGCGUUGGAAACUGUCUGACUUGAGUAUCGGAGAGGUGAAGGGAAUUCUCGGUGUAAGGGUGAAAUCUGUAGAUAUCGAGAGGAACACCAGUGGCGAAGGCGCUUCACUGGCCGAUUACUGACGCUGAGCUGCGAAAGCAUGGGGAGCAAACAGGAUUAGAUACCCCCGUAGUCCCUGAGCGGGCUGGCAAGGCGCAU